rnacentral:rRNA from 1 species
GUGGGGAAUAUUGGACAAUGGGGGGAACCCUGAUCCAGCCAUGCCGCGUGUGUGAAGAAGGCCUUUUGGUUGUAAAGCACUUUAAGCGAGGAGGAGGCUACCGAGAUUAAUACUCUUGGAUAGUGGACGUUACUCGCAGAAUAAGCACCGGCUAACUCUGUGCCAGCAGCCGCGGUAAUACAGAGGGUGCGAGCGUUAAUCGGAUUUACUGGGCGUAAAGCGUGCGUAGGCGGCUUUUUAAGUCGGAUGUGAAAUCCCUGAGCUUAACUUAGGAAUUGCAUUCGAUACUGGAAAGCUAGAGUAUGGGAGAGGAUGGUAGAAUUCCAGGUGUAGCGGUGAAAUGCGUAGAGAUCUGGAGGAAUACCGAUGGCGAAGGCAGCCAUCUGGCCUAAUACUGACGCUGAGGUACGAAAGCAUGGGGAGCAAACAGGAUUAGAAACCCUGGUAGUCC